GACGUACGGUGCGAACGUUGUUCGGAAUCACUGGGCUUAAAGGGCGCGUAGGCGGGUUCGAAAGUCUGUGGUGAAAGCCUCCAGCUUAACUGGAGAAGUGCCAUGGAUACUGCGAACCUGGAGGAGGGUAGGGGCAUCUGGAACGCUGGGUGGAGCGGUGAAAUGCGUUGAUAUCCAGCGGAACUCCGGUGGCGAAGGCGAGGUGCUGGACCCUUUCUGACGCUGAGGCGCGAAAGCCAGGGGAGCAAACGGG
rnacentral:rRNA from 1 species